AGAGUUUGAUCAUGGCUCAGGACGAACGCUGGCGGCGUGCCUAAUACAUGCAAGUCGAGCGAGCUUGCCUAGAUGAUUUUGGUGCUUGCACUAAAUGAAACUAGAUACAAGCGAGCGGCGGACGGGUGAGUAACACGUGGGUAACCUGCCCAAGAGACUGGGAUAACACCUGGAAACAGAUGCUAAUACCGGAUAACAACACUAGACGCAUGUCUAGAGUUUGAAAGAUGGUUCUGCUAUCACUCUUGGAUGGACCUGCGGUGCAUUAGCUAGUUGGUAAGGUAACGGCUUACCAAGGCAAUGAUGCAUAGCCGAGUUGAGAGACUGAUCGGCCACAUUGGGACUGAGACACGGCCCAAACUCCUACGGGAGGCAGCAGUAGGGAAUCUUCCACAAUGGACGAAAGUCUGAUGGAGCAACGCCGCGUGAGUGAAGAAGGGUUUCGGCUCGUAAAGCUCUGUUGGUAGUGAAGAAAGAUAGAGGUAGUAACUGGCCUUUAUUUGACGGUAAUUACUUAGAAAGUCACGGCUAACUACGUGCCAGCAGCCGCGGUAAUACGUAGGUGGCAAGCGUUGUCCGGAUUUAUUGGGCGUAAAGCGAGUGCAGGCGGUUCAAUAAGUCUGAUGUGAAAGCCUUCGGCUCAACCGGAGAAUUGCAUCAGAAACUGUUGAACUUGAGUGCAGAAGAGGAGAGUGGAACUCCAUGUGUAGCGGUGGAAUGCGUAGAUAUAUGGAAGAACACCAGUGGCGAAGGCGGCUCUCUGGUCUGCAACUGACGCUGAGGCUCGAAAGCAUGGGUAGCGAACAGGAUUAGCAUACCCUGGUAGUCCAUGCCGUAAACGAUGAGUGCUAAGUGUUGGGAGGUUUCCGCCUCUCAGUGCUGCAGCUCACGCAUUAAGCACUCCGCCUGGGGAGUA
rnacentral:rRNA from 1 species